UACAGGGGUGCAAACGUUGCUCGGAAUCAUUGGGCGUAAAGCGCACGUAGGCGGUCUGUUAUGUCGGAUGUGAAAGCCCUUGGCUCAACUGAGGAAGUGCAUCCGAAACUGGCAGGCUAGAGUACUAAAGAGGGUCGCGGAAUUCCCGGUGUAGAGGUGAAAUUCGUAGAUAUCGGGAGGAACACCGGUGGCGAAGGCGGCGACCUGGGUAGAUACUGACGCUGAGGUGCGAAAGCGUGGGGAGCAACAGG
rnacentral:rRNA from 1 species